GAGUUCAUGCCCUUCGGGGUAGAUCUCCCACCCUUUGUAUACCAUACCUCUGUUGCUUUGGCGGGCCGCCUAGCUACUGGCUUCGGCUGGUAAGUGCCCGCCAGAGAAUAUCAAAACUCUUUUUAUUAAUGUCGUCUGAGUACUAUAUAAUAGUUAAAACUUUCAACAACGGAUCUCUUGGUUCU
rnacentral:misc_RNA from 1 species